rnacentral:misc_RNA from 1 species
CGGGGGAUGACCAAUCAGAUGUCCACACGCUCCCUCACCCCAAUCAAGGGCGUGUAUCAUACAUAUGUGCAACCAAUAUGCUGUGACCUCCUAUGAUCUCUGUCGAUGGUGCGCGUGAUGCGCGUCUUUUAGGCGGGUUUUUGCGAAUUCGAUUUCUAAUCCUUCACUGCCUCAAUUCUUUCGUAGGCUUUCACAUCGUGUGAGCGAAGGUUUGCUGAUCGAAGAGAGUUUUCGCUGUCUGUACCUGUGCGCGCGCCCAUGGCUGUGACGCCAUGCGCUAGAAAGUUGCCCCCCCCCCCUUCAUGUGUUUCCAACGGCGAAGAAGUGUGCCGAAUCGGAGUCGGCUAAUUCUCCGCGUCAGUGGUGUGGUCUGCGUGUGCUGUGCGCCGCCGCUCAUGCUACGGAGCAGAAGUGUGUGUGUGUGUGUGCAGAGGACUAUGCUGGGCUGCGUUCGAUCAUCGAUGCGGCCUUCUCUCUCCCCUUGCCGCUCGCCGCAUCAUCUGCAGCUUCAGGCAAACCGAGUCU